AUACGUAGGUGGCAAGCGUUGUCCGGAAUUAUUGGGCGUAAAGCGCGCGCAGGUGGUUCCUUAAGUCUGAUGUGAAAGCCCCCGGCUCAACCGGGGAGGGUCAUUGGAAACUGGGGAACUUGAGUGCAGAAGAGGAUAGUGGAAUUCCAAGUGUAGCGGUGAAAUGCGUAGAGAUUUGGAGGAACACCAGUGGCGAAGGCGACUGUCUGGUCUGUAACUGACACUGAGACGCGAAAGCGUGGGGAGCAAACAGGAUUAGAUACCCUGGUAGUCCACGCCGUAAACGAUGAGUGCUAAGUGUUGGGGGGUUUCCGCCCCUCAGUGCUGCAGCUAACGCAUUAAGCACUCCGCCUGGGGAGUACGGUCGCAAGACUGAAACUCAAAGGAAUUGACGGGG
rnacentral:rRNA from 1 species